rnacentral:sRNA from 1 species
UGACUACACCGUCUAUAAUCUCAGGCUCAAUAAGUGGUU